rnacentral:rRNA from 1 species
ACCGGAAACGGUGGCUAAUACCGAAUAAUGCAGCGGCACCUAAUGGUGACAGCCAAAAACACUGAGGGGGAUCGCAAGACCUCGCGUCUAAAGAGGAGCCUGCGGCGGAUUAGCUAGUUGGUAAGGUAACGGCUUACCAAGGCGAUGAUCCGUAGCCGGCCUGAGAGGGCGGUCGGCCACACUGACACUGACAUACGGGUCAGA